rnacentral:lncRNA from 1 species
CAUGCCCCAUCAAAUACAGUGAAGGAGAUGACGAAGUAAAAAAGAGAGAGGGAGGAUGAUAAAGUGGAGAAAGAAAAAAAAAGAUAGGAUAGAAGAUAGGAAGAAAGAUAGAUUAAAGGGAAAGACAGGAAUCUGUAACUAAGAAAUUUUUUCGGCUUUAGAUUCCUCCCUCGAUCUAGCUCUCACAUGCUCUUCAAUCCUUGAUCUCAAGUGUGGCCUCUGAGAGUUUAUGGGUAUAUUCUUAAAUGUCACAAAAAUCAAUAAGCUUGAUGGGGCUCUCAUCUCGUGUUUGCUUCCCUUCUCUCUCUCUCUCUUUGUGUCUCUAUCUUUCUGUGCUAUCAAAUACAACUACAACAAGAAAAGAAAAAAAAGAGAUCAAGGACAAAUAGAGGAGAAGAAGAGACAUGGGGAAAGGAGAGCUAAGCCGUACUCUCUUAAAAAAAGUGUUGUCUCGAGGUAGGAUUGGCAAGGAUUGUUGUACAUGUCCCAAAUAUUCAGAACUGGAUGUAGC